GUGGGGAAUAUUGGACAAUGGGGGGAACCCUGAUCCAGCCAUGCCGCGUGUGUGAAGAAGGCCUUUUGGUUGUAAAGCACUUUAAGCGAGGAGGAGGCUACCGAGAUUAAUACUCUUGGAUAGUGGACGUUACUCGCAGAAUAAGCACCGGCUAACUCUGUGCCAGCAGCCGCGGUAAUACAGAGGGUGCAAGCGUUAAUCGGAUUUACUGGGCGUAAAGCGCGCGUAGGUGGCCAAUUAAGUCAAAUGUGAAAUCCCCGAGCUUAACUUGGGAAUUGCAUUGGAUACUGGUUGGCUAGAGUAUGGGAGAGGAUGGUAGAAUUCCAGGUGUAGCGGUGAAAUGCGUAGAGAUCUGGAGGAAUACCGAUGGCGAAGGCAGCCAUCUGGCCUAAUACUGACACUGAGGUGCGAAAGCAUGGGGAGCAAACAGGAUUAGAAACCCUGGUAGUCC
rnacentral:rRNA from 1 species